GACGAACGCUGGCGGCGCGCUUAACACAUGCAAGUCGAGCGAAGCGGCGGACGGGUGAGUAACACGUGAGUAACCUGCCUUAGACAUUGGGAUAGCCUCGGGAAACCGGGAUUAAUACCAAAUGGUCUAAGAUGGACUCGCGUCCCAUUAGCUAGUUGGUGAGGUAACGGCCCACCAAGGCGACGAUGGGUAGCCGGCCUGAGAGGGUGAACGGCCACACUGGGACUGAGACACGGCCCAGACUCUACGGGAGGCAGCAGUAGGGAAUCUUCGGCAAUGGACGAAAGUCUGACCGAGCAACGCCGCGUGAACGAAGAAGGCUUUCGAGUCGUAAAGUUCUUUUAUAUGGGAAGCGGUACCAUAAGAAAAAGCCCCGGCUAACUACGUGCCAGCAGCCGCGGUAAUUC
rnacentral:rRNA from 1 species